rnacentral:rRNA from 1 species
GAUGAACGCUAGCUACAGGCUUAACACAUGCAAGUCGAGGGGCAUCAGGAAGAAAGCUUGCUUUCUUUGCUGGCGACCGGCGCACGGGUGAGUAACACGUAUCCAACCUGCCCUUUACUCGGGGAUAGCCUUUCGAAAGAAAGAUUAAUACCCGAUAGCAUAAUGAUUCCGCAUGGUUUCAUUAUUAAAGGAUUCCGGUAAAGGAUGGGGAUGCGUUCCAUUAGGUUGUUGGUGAGGUAACGGCCCACCAAGCCUUCGAUGGAUAGGGGUUCUGAGAGGAAGGUCCCCCACAUUGGAACUGAGACACGGUCCAAACUCCUACGGGAGGCAGCAGUGAGGAAUAUUGGUCAAUGGGCGCUAGCCUGAACCAGCCAAGUAGCGUGAAGGAUGAAGGCUCUAUGGGUCGUAAACUUCUUUUAUAUAAGAAUAAAGUGCAGUAUGUAUACUGUUUUGUAUGUAUUAUAUGAAUAAGGAUCGGCUAACUCCGUGCCAGCAGCCGCGGUAAUACGGAGGAUCCGAGCGUUAUCCGGAUUUAUUGGGUUUAAAGGGAGCGUAGGUGGACUGGUAAGUCAGUUGUGAAAGUUUGCGGCUCAACCGUAAAAUUGCAGUUGAUACUGUCAGUCUUGAGUACAGUAGAGGUGGGCGGAAUUCGUGGUGUAGCGGUGAAAUGCUUAGAUAUCACGAAGAACUCCGAUUGCGAAGGCAGCUCACUGGACUGCAACUGACACUGAUGCUCGAAAGUGUGGGUAUCAAACAGGAUUAGAUACCCUGGUAGUCCACACAGUAAACGAUGAAUACUCGCUGUUUGCGAUAUACAGUAAGCGGCCAAGCGAAAGCAUUAAGUAUUCCACCUGGGGAGUACGCCGGCAACGGUGAAACUCAAAGGAAUUGACGGGGGCCCGCACAAGCGGAGGAACAUGUGGUUUAAUUCGAUGAUACGCGAGGAACCUUACCCGGGCUUAAAUUGCAGUGGAAUGAUGUGGAAACAUGUCAGUGAGCAAUCACCGCUGUGAAGGUGCUGCAUGGUUGUCGUCAGCUCGUGCCGUGAGGUGUCGGCUUAAGUGCCAUAACGAGCGCAACCCUUAUCUUUAGUUACUAACAGGUUAUGCUGAGGACUCUAGAGAGACUGCCGUCGUAAGAUGUGAGGAAGGUGGGGAUGACGUCAAAUCAGCACGGCCCUUACGUCCGGGGCUACACACGUGUUACAAUGGGGGGUACAGAAGGCAGCUAGCGGGUGACCGUAUGCUAAUCCCAAAAUCCUCUCUCAGUUCGGAUCGAAGUCUGCAACCCGACUUCGUGAAGCUGGAUUCGCUAGUAAUCGCGCAUCAGCCACGGCGCGGUGAAUGCGUUCCCGGGCCUUGUACACACCGCCCGUCAAGCCAUGGGAGCCGGGGGUACCUGAAGUACGUAACCGCAAGGAUCGUCCUAGGGUAAAACUGA